UACGUAGGGGGCUAGCGUUGUCCGGAUUUAUUGGGCGUAAAGAGCGUGUAGGCGGCCAGGUAGGUCUGCUGUGAAAACUCGAGGCUCAACCUCGAGACGUCGGCGGAAACCAUCUGGCUAGAGUCCGGAAGAGGAGAGUGGAAUUCCUGGUGUAGCGGUGAAAUGCGCAGAUAUCAGGAAGAACACCCGUGGCGAAGGCGGCUCUCUGGGACGGUACUGACGCUGAGGAGCGAAAAGCGUGGGGGAGCGAACAGG
rnacentral:rRNA from 1 species